UACGUAGGGGGGCGAGCGUUGUCCGGAAUCAUUGGGCGUAAAGCGCGUGUAGGCGGCUCGGUAAGUCCGGUGUGAAACCUUGGGGCUCAACCCCCAAGCCUGCACUGGAUACUGUCGAGCUUGAGUCCGGGAGGGGAGAGCGGAAUUCCUAGUGUAGCGGUGAAAAUGCGCAGAUAUUAGGAAGAACACCGGUGGCGAAGGCGGCUCUCUGGAACGGUACUGGAACGCUGAGACGCGAAAAGCGUGGGGGAAGCGAACAGGGA
rnacentral:rRNA from 1 species